UUUAAGUGCAACCAUGAGUUUCCGUGCCCAAUUUUGAUCGUCUGUCUUAUUUGAAAUUUUUUUAUAAUUAGUAUUUUUUGUUGUUAUGAGAUGAUAAAACAUGAAUAGUACUUUAUGUGUGUCUUAUAUUUUUUAAAUUUUCUCAAUUUUUUUUAAAUAAGACGGAUGAUUAAAAUUGAGCACGGGAAAACAUGGAUGCACUUAAA
rfam:Oryza rufipogon genomic scaffold, chr03